CUCCCUCCUGCGCAGCCGGGAGGCCUCGGUCGCUCUGGGCCCGUCCCCGUCCCCGUCCCCCCGUCCCCCCGUCCCCCCCCCCCCAUGGCAGCCCAGCCCUCGCAACCUCCUCGGCUUCAGGGCCUGAUGGCGGCGGGCGGCUCUGGAAGGGGUGAGGAGCGCGGCCCCGCCCGAGCGAGCGGGCCGGAGCAGGCAGGCAGGCAGCAGACCCGCCCUUCCCACCGGCGCUGAGGCAGUGAAGGGGGCGGCGGGGCGGGGCGGGCUGCCGGCAGGAUGUGGGCCGGGACGGAGCUGAGCGGCGCGGUAGGAGCACGGAGCGGAGGUGGUGCCACGGUUACCGCCUCUGAGGAAGGUUCCAACCAGCCUGUGCUCGUCCUGGUAAUCCCUCAGCCCCACCCCCAUAGGGCUCCCAGUGGUAACUGGGUGGGGUCAGGUGUAGCGGCAGGCCCCUCCUCUGCUGGAGCGUGCGGGCAUCUAUCUACACGCUGAGAACGGUUAAAAUCAACACCUUCGUUUUACAUUCAGGCAGUGGUUAGACGCAGUGUGCUGUAGGAGCCCACCGCUCCAUGUCUUGAGCUUGUUAGAUCAAGGCCUUGACUUCGCUGCCUGAUCCACCCACAGGUUUUUGCCAUUCAAGUGAAGUGCUGCCCCGUGGAAGCAUCAUGCUGCAGGGGAGGGUCAGGUUGGCUAUCAGGAGAGGGUUCUUCACUAACAGUAUCUACCAAACAAGUUUCAGACAAUGUCCAGCAACCUUGUUUGGACCUCAUGAGUAAAACCACAUUCCUUCAGAAAGUUCUUUUUCUGCCCUGUGUUGGGUGCAGUGUUUUUCAUCAGCAUUGCAAGGUUCCAAGCAUGGUACGCCCAUGCAUUGCUACUGGAACAGGUUACCCAAGGAGGCUGUGGAUGCCCCAUCCCUGGCAGCAUUCAAGGCCAGGCUGGAUGUGGCUCUGGGCAGCCUGGUCUGGUGGCUGGCAACCGUGCACAUAGCAGGGGGGUGAAACUAGGUGGUCAUUGUGGUCCUUUUCAACCCAGGCCAUUCUAUGAUUCCUCAGCCAUCUUAGCCACUUGCAACGCCCUUUAUUUCUCCCAAAUAACCCUCCCCUCAACUCUUUUCCCUGUUGUUCCCAGUCUGGCUACAUCUAUACCUGUAUUCAGUAUUUCUGAUACCAUUACUUAGCUUAUCUUGACCUUGUGUGGUAUUGCUGAGGUAGUGACAUGGUUAUUGGGCGCCAUUAACCCUGCAAGUUCCCAGUCCCAAAUGGACUUCCAAACUCUUUGGUUAUUUCUGUCGUUCAGCUGUUUUUCAUGCAACGCCUACCUAACCACCAGUGAAAUCCAGCCACCCCUCCCAGGGCUAUCUGCAGCUUUUUUUAGCUUCUCAUGCUGUUUCACGUCACAUCCAGCAAUUUCACCCUGAGCAAUCAGCUCAGCUGAUUUGCCUGCAGCUCCAACAGGUACCUGUCUGCUUGGGAAGGGGUUACCUGGUCUAGCUGGGCAUGACCAGCCUUCUUGACACAACUAUCAGAGCUGCUUUUGGGAAUUCUGUCCCCUCCAAAAAUUACAUCAGAAAGAUGUAGUUUAAAUAGCAUGAGGAGUAGCAAUUUGUUACUCUAAUCCAUGGGAAGUAAAAUGGUUAGGGGAGUUACUGCAUAAGCAGUUUUCAGCAGAGCUGACUGCAGCUGCUCUCAAUCUGAAAUUGUUUGCACCUAUAUUUCCCAGGUCUGUGGCUUCGGGAUUGUGCCUGUGUGUUAACCUUUUCCCAGUUGCUGCCAAGCAAUGUCUGGAUGAAAGGUUACAUUCCAAAUAAUUGUUUAUCCAUAGCAAAUAUUGGAGGGUAAUACAACCAGCCACUUCAAUCUAAUCUACACUGUGGAAGCAGCCCAGGUUUUAAGAAGCAUUUCUAGCAUGUUUUCAUAAACAUGUAAUCAAACGCAUAGAUAAAACACAACCUCUUAAUAUAUUCUAGUUAUUACAUUUUAGCUAUUGGCCUACUGCCAUUAUACUUUAUUGAAGCUAUUAAAAUGUUAUUAAAGACUUUCUCUCCCUUAACCCAGAGCAGUUUCCUUUUCUGAGCUGCGUGCUAGCACUGCAGACUGCUCUCCAGUAGGCUAGCUGCAUACUGACAGGACUAAACUUGCACAUCCACACUGCCAGGAAGUCUGAGUCUACGCUGGCACUCCAGGAGCUCCACAAGAUCUCCGAAAGGCUCCCUCUGUAGUGACUGCUGUGCACCUCAACUGCUGCUGCUGCUGAGCAUUCUCACCAACGUGGAAUGAGGGCUGAGAUCCAAAGUGAAACAGCUGUCAUGCUUUGAUAAGCAACAUGCCUGCAGAAAGGAUGCAAGAGUCCUACUGAGAGAAUCUAUCAGCUUUUCUUUGGCCUACAAAGUUCAGGUUUGGUAGAUUACUGCAUUUUAAUCUUUCAUAGGAUUAUUAUAUAGUAGAUAACCAAUACUGUAUUUGGUUACACUGAACUUUCAAGUCUUGUAGUCUAGAUCCAUCUAGGUCUGUACUUAAACUCUCUUCAUUUUACUCUCUCCUCCCUCCUGUCAUCUUAUAUGUAUUACAGGUUUCUUUCAUUAUAUUAAUGGUAGAAUUUUUCUGAGUUAUAGAUUUAGAAGAUUUUAGAUCGCAAAAGGAACAUCUCAUUUAAGAGGGGACAGUGCCGGACUUCAAAGUCUCACAGUCUUUAAGCUGGAAAAUUCUACUAAAAUUUAAAAGCACAUCAUAUGUCUUUUGUCAGUUAAAGCAAAUAUUUCUAUAAUUGCUCCCUUUGUAUUCUUUUGGUCAUACAUUUUUAUUAUUAUUUAUGAGUAGUCCUAAUUUUAGGGAAUUCCACUAUAAAAAGGCCUUAGUUUUGCUUACUGCUGUAAGCAACUGUCUGGUGAAAAAUAAAUUAAACCACUGCAGUCACAGUCACAUAAUAGCCAAUCCUCUGUACAGUAAUGCAUUGUAAAUAGAAUUACACGUUUGUGGAAUGUGGAAUAUUUCUUUUGUUAAAUAUGCCAAUGUAAAAACAC